GACGAACGCUGGCGGCGUGCUUAACACAUGCAAGUCGAACGGAAAGGCCCUGCUUUUGUGGGGUGCUCGAGUGGCGAACGGGAGAGUAACACGUGAGUAACCUGCCCUUGACUUUGGUAUAACUUCAGGAAACUGGGGCUAAUACCGGAUAGGAGCUCCUGCUGCAUGGUGGGGGUUGGAAAGUGUCGGCGGUUGGGGCUGGACUCGCGGGGUAUCAGCCUGUUGGUGGGGUAGUGGCUUACCAAGGCUUUGACGGGUAGCCGGCCUGAGAGGGUGACCGGCCACAUUGGGACUGAGAUACGGCCCAGACUCCUACGGGAGGCAGCAGUGGGGAAUAUUGCACAAUGGGCGGAAGCCUGAUGCAGCAACGCCGCGUGCGGGAUGACGGCCUUCGGGUUGUAAACCGCUUUCGCCUGUGACGAAGCGUGAGUGACGGUAAUGGGUAAAGAAGCACCGGCUAACUACGUG
rnacentral:rRNA from 1 species